AGUUUCAGACUUUCGGUUCCCUGUAGUUGCACUUGUACACAUACAAGUUCUCUUUCGCUCUCUCUUUCACCGGAAUCGGAUCAUGUCUGGAGCGUACGAUCAAGAGGGCGGCUACGGAGGCGCUGGAUACGGUCAUGGUGGUCGAGGAGGUGGAGGAUUCGGUGGUCGAGGCGGAGAUCGUGGUGGACGAGGUGGCGGCCGCGGUGGCGGAAGUGGUAGAGACGGAGACUGGCGUUGCCCUAACCCAAGUUGUGGGAAUUUGAACUUUGCGAGAAGGGCCGAAUGUAACAAAUGUGGUGCUCCAUCUCCUGCUGGUGCUAAUGACCGUGGGGGAGGUGGUGGUUAUAAUAGAGGGGGACAUGGUAACAGUCGUGGGGGUAGAUCUGGUAAUUUUGAUGGAGGAAGAGGUAAUGGCUAUAACAGUGGUAGGGGUAAUAACAAUGGUGGUAGAAGUGGGGGAGGCAAUAGAGGUGGUUCAUUCAGUGGUAGUCAAGGUUUUGAUGAUGGUGGUGCUGGUGGAAACUACCCACCUGCGUACAAUUCUUAUGGUGGGAAUUCAAAUUAUGAAACUGAUGCGGUUCCUCCGCCUGCUAGCUAUGUGGGUGGGCCUGCAUCUUAUCCUCCAUCAUAUGGGAGUAAUGCUGGUGGUUAUGGUGGCGGCAACAAUAUAGCUGAUGCACGAUAUGGUGGUAGGUCAGGGCCACCAGUUGGAAAUGACUGUGGUUAUGGUGCUGGUAGUCAAGGUGGAUUUGGUGGAGCUCCUGCUGAGCCCCCUGCUAAGGUGAAGCAAUGUGAUGAGAAUUGUGGGGAUUCCUGUGACAACUCUAGAAUCUACAUAUCAAACUUACCGCCAGAUGUGACUAUUGAAGAAUUGAGAGAACUUUUUGGAGGCAUUGGACAAGUUGGAAGAAUAAAACAGAAGAGGGGGUAUAAAGACCAGUGGCCUUGGAACAUAAAGCUAUACACUGAUGAGAAAGGAAACAACAAGGGUGAUGGUUGUCUUGUCUACGAAGAUCCUUCUGCAGCUCAUUCUGCUGGCAGUUUUUACAAUAAUUAUGAUUUGAGGGGUUACAAAAUAAAUGUUGCAAUGGCAGAAAAAUCUGCUCCAAAAGCUCUGCCUGCAUAUAACCAUGGGGGCAAUAGGGGUGGCUAUGGUGGAGAUAGACGCAGAGACAAUUAUAGAGAUGGAGGCAGUUCUGGGCCUGAUAGGCGUGAUAAUUACGGUGGGAAUCGAUCACAUCCAUACUGAGGGCUUCAAUAGUGAACAUUUUAUGUACUAUGGUUUAUGGUCUGAGGAAUUUGUUGUAUUCAGUUGGUUGGUAACUUGAAAUGGAAGCAAAGAGGUAGGUUGUUCACUUACUUUUAGCAAGACCUCUUUGCUCCUUCUGGUUUUGUUUGUCACUCGUUGGAGGAUUUUUAAUUUUAGGCAGGGAUUAAUUUGAGCAUGUGAAUGUUUUUAGAGAGGCAAGUGGUAGUCUCCAAGCUGCCGAGGUAGUUUGAUUGUUUCUGGUAGCUGCCCGAAAUUUUGUUGUGCCAUGCCAGAGUUUGUUUGCUUCGUGGCUAAGUUAUUGCAUAGAUGGAAGCUGUAGUAGUAGUGUUACAAGUUUUGUUCACCAUACGGAAGUGUAGAUAGAUUUUGUUAAGAUGUAUGUUCUUAUUUAUCUGUUAGUUCAUAAAAGCGUUCUGUAGCAAGAAACGAAAGCUACUGAUUGUUAAAAAACAUUUAUGUAAUAAUUGAUUAUCCGGUUAAUGUUAUGAUUGAAUGAGAAUUUGAUGUGCAGCAAAA